GCGUCUGUGGUCCAGAGGUAUGAUUGCUCCCUGCCACGGAGUAGACCCGGGUUCGAUUCCCGGCGGACGCA
rfam:Linderina pennispora strain ATCC 12442 DL89scaffold_3, whole genome shotgun sequence.